rnacentral:pre_miRNA from 9 species
UUUCGAUCACGUAAAAGUUAACUGAAAUUUGUAUGGAGUUGACACAGCUGCCCUUCGUUUGCCGCUAGGGGCGCUGUUCCGACUCCAUACAAAUUUGAGUUAACUUUUACGUGAUCGA